CCGGCCAGAGCCUGGAGAAGAGGCGUGAGGGAGUCGGGAGGGAAAGAAAGAGGAAAACGCGAGGGAGGAAGAGGAGAGAGGGCGAGGGCGAGCCGCGGAGAGGGCAAGGUGACCGCAGGCCGUGACAUGAUUAAUCGUUUUCUUCUGAUCUAAUUUUGGAACAUGAAAAACAGCACAUUUGUCUUGAAGAAAAAUGAUGUGCCGAACUGCGCAGAUGGAAAUUUCGAGCAAUGAGAAAGAUUAAAGUGAAACCCCACUCCUUAGACCUAAUCAUGAGUUGUAGAUUAUUCUGUCGGCCCAGCCAGAUGGUAGCUCUGAUUCCACAGCCCCUUCUUAUAUUAAUGAAUACUAGACUGUUAUAUUUGACUUAGCUGUUCCUUUGUUCAUUCAUUUGUCUGCUUUUUCAAGAAAUAUGUAUUGAGAACCUACUACAUGCCAGGUAUUGUUCUAGGCACUGGAGAUUCAGCGAUGUACAAAAUCCCCUGCCCUCUCAGAGCUGACAUUUUGGUAGCUAUAUGUGUGUGUAUAUUAGUGAGGUUUUUUCCAUAGAAACAGAAACUCACCUAGGCUAGCUCUAAUAGUGGGGGUUAUUGUAAGAUGGUGGCAAUAAGGACACAAAAAUCUUCUGGGGACCCAAGAACAACUGUAUAGCUGAGCCUCUUAACUUUUAUAACUUGUAACUGGCUCAUUCAUGGCCUCUCCGAGCUCCUAAUGCCACUUUUUGAACUUUUUGUGGUAUAAUAUACACACAGAAAAGUACACGUAUCAUUAGAAUAUAGCUCAAUAGGGCUUCUCUGGUGGCGCAGUGGUUGAGAGUCCGCCUGCCGAUGCAGGAGACACGGGUUCGUGCCACGGUCCGGGAAGAUCCCACA